rnacentral:rRNA from 1 species
AUGACCGACGGCGGUCCGGAGGCGGCGCCGCUGGAGUUCCCCUCCGCGGAGUGGCGGCGCGUGUACGACCGGCUCCAAGGGCUGCUGCCGCGGGUGGAGGCGCUCGCCGCCGACCGCGCGCGCCUGGAGGAAGCCAUCAAGCUGUCGGACGCCCGCGAGAAGAGCCUCCAUGCCCGCCUCCUCCAGGCGGAGGCGAGCAGGGAGAGGUGGAAGGCGGCCUACACCGAGCUUCCUCCCGGUGCCAAUCCCAAGCUCGCCGAACUUCAAGAGCGCGACUUGGUGGAUUCGGAAGCUCGUGAAGCUCUUCCUGAUGUUGAUAACUCUCAACUGAAGGUGACUAGUCAAAAGCGCAGGAAGCUUACCAAUGGGGAGACUAGUCAAAAAAAGCGCAUGAAGCUUACCAAUGGGGACACUAGUAAAGAAAAGUGCACGAAGCUUACCAAUGAGAUGCAUCUUCAACGGUGCACGAUGCAGAUCUUUGUCAAGAUCAACUGUUCAAUUUUUCUCAAAAAAAGAAAGACCCACUGUUUAAAGACAAUCACUCUUGAGGUCAUGAGAUCAAAUACGAUCUACGAUGUCAAGGAAAAGAUACAAGACAAGGAGGGCAUCCCUGCAGUCCAGCAGAGACUCAUGUUUGGCAGUGAGCUGCUGGUGGACAGCUGCUGCCUGGAGGACUACAACAUCGUGGAGGAGUCCACCCUCACCCUUGACCUUGUUCCCCAAGGGAUGCAUAUCUUUAUCAGGGCACGGAGUGGCAAGAUCAUGACUAUUGGUGUUGACGGAGAAGAUAGCCUAUACAGUGUCAAGGCAAAGUUUUUCGAUGAAACCGGCAUCCCCCCAGGCAGACAGCGUCUCUUCUUUGCCGGGAAGCAGCUGGAGGAUGGCCGCACCUUGGCUGACUACGACGUGCAAAAUGAAUCUACUCUUCAUGUUGCGUUUCGCGGCAUCACGCGUCGGAGCGGUCAGAUGCGCAUCUCUGUCAGGACGGUGACGGGGAAGAAAGUCAUUGAACGUGCGAUGAAGCGCAGACAGGCCGUUGACAACAUCAAAGCGUGGAUCUACUCUGAGUUGUGCAUUCUCCCGGAGGAGCAGCAGCUCUCUGGCGAGGACGGCGCCCCCCUGGCGGAAGUGAUCCGUCGUUCGUGCAUCGUUGUUCUGCAGAUCCGUCCUCCUGGUGGUUGGUGA